rnacentral:rRNA from 1 species
AGUGAACGCUGGCGGUAGGCCUAACACAUGCAAGUCGAGCGGCAGCACAGUAAGAGCUUGCUCUUACGGGUGGCGAGUGGCGGACGGGUGAGGAAUACAUCGGAAUCUACUUUUUCGUGGGGGAUAACGUAGGGAAACUUACGCUAAUACCGCAUACGACCUACGGGUGAAAGCAGGGGAUCUUCGGACCUUGCGCGAUUGAAUGAGCCGAUGUCGGAUUAGCUAGUUGGCGGGGUAAAGGCCCACCAAGGCGACGAUCCGUAGCUGGUCUGAGAGGAUGAUCAGCCACACUGGAACUGAGACACGGUCCAGACUCCUACGGGAGGCAGCAGUGGGGAAUAUUGGACAAUGGGCGCAAGCCUGAUCCAGCCAUACCGCGUGGGUGAAGAAGGCCCUCGGGUUGUAAAGCCCUUUUGUUGGGAAAGAAAAGCAGCAGGUUAAUACCCCGCUGUUCUGACGGUACCCAAAGAAUAAGCACCGGCUAACUUCGUG